rnacentral:rRNA from 1 species
UUUUCCAGGCAAAUCCGGAAAAUCAAGGCUGAGGCGUGAUGACGAGGCACUGCGGUGCUGAAGCAACAAAUGCCCUGCUUCCAGGAAAAGCCUCUAAGCAUCAGGUAACAUCAAAUCGUACCCCAAACCGACACAGGUGGUCAGGUAGAGAAUACCAAGGCGCUUGAGAGAACUCGGGUGAAGGAACUAGGCAAAAUGGUGCCGUAACUUCGGGAGAAGGCACGCUGAUAUGUAGGUGAAGUCCCUCGCGGAUGGAGCUGAAAUCAGUCGAAGAUACCAGCUGGCUGCAACUGUUUAUUAAAAACACAGCACUGUGCAAACACGAAAGUGGACGUAUACGGUGUGACGCCUGCCCGGUGCCGGAAGGUUAAUUGAUGGGGUUAGCGCAAGCGAAGCUCUUGAUCGAAGCCCCGGUAAACGGCGGCCGUAACUAUAACGGUCCUAAGGUAGCGAAAUUCCUUGUCGGGUAAGUUCCGACCUGCACGAAUGGCGUAAUGAUGGCCAGGCUGUCUCCACCCGAGACUCAGUGAAAUUGAACUCGCUGUGAAGAUGCAGUGUACCCGCGGCAAGACGGAAAGACCCCGUGAACCUUUACUAUAGCUUGACACUGAACAUUGAGCCUUGAUGUGUAGGAUAGGUGGGAGGCUUUGAAGUGUGGACGCCAGUCUGCAUGGAGCCGACCUUGAAAUACCACCCUUUAAUGUUUGAUGUUCUAACGUUGACCCGUAAUCCGGGUUGCGGACAGUGUCUGGUGGGUAGUUUGACUGGGGCGGUCUCCUCCUAAAGAGUAACGGAGGAGCACGAAGGUUGGCUAAUCCUGGUCGGACAUCAGGAGGUUAGUGCAAUGGCAUAAGCCAGCUUGACUGCGAGCGUGACGGCGCGAGCAGGUGCGAAAGCAGGUCAUAGUGAUCCGGUGGUUCUGAAUGGAAGGGCCAUCGCUCAACGGAUAAAAGGUACUCCGGGGAUAACAGGCUGAUACCGCCCAAGAGUUCAUAUCGACGGCGGUGUUUGGCACCUCGAUGUCGGCUCAUCACAUCCUGGGGCUGAAGUAGGUCCCAAGGGUAUGGCUGUUCGCCAUUUAAAGUGGUACGCGAGCUGGGUUUAGAACGUCGUGAGACAGUUCGGUCCCUAUCUGCCGUGGGCGCUGGAGAACUGAGGGGGGCUGCUCCUAGUACGAGAGGACCGGAGUGGACGCAUCACUGGUGUUCGGGUUGUCAUGCCAAUGGCACUGCCCGGUAGCUAAAUGCGGAAGAGAUAAGUGCUGAAAGCAUCUAAGCACGAAACUUGCC